GACGAACGCUGGCGGCGUGCUUAACACAUGCAAGUCGAACGGAAAGGCCCUGCUUUUGUGGGUUGCUCGAUUGCCGAACGGGUGAGUAAAACGUGAGUAACAUGCCCUUGUCUUUGGGAUAACUUCAGGAAACUGGGGCUCUUAUCGGAUAGGAGAUCCUGAUGCAUGUUGGGGGUUGGAAAGUUUCGGCGGUUGGGGAUGGACUGGCUGCUUAUGCGCUUGAUGGGGAGGUAGUGGCUUUCCAAGCGUUUGACGGGUAGGCGGCCUUGGAGGGGGACCGGCCACAAUGGGCCUGAGAUACGGCCCAGACGCCUACGGGACGCAGCAGUGGGGAGUAUGGCAGAAUGGGCGGAAGCCAGAUGCAGCAACGCCGCGUGCGGGAUGACGGCCUUCGGGUGGUAAACCGCUUUCGCCGGUGACGAAGAGUGAGUGACGGUAAUGGGUAAAGAAGCACCGGCUAACUACGUG
rnacentral:rRNA from 1 species